GAUGAACGCUGGCGGCGUGCCUAAUACAUGCAAGUCGAGCGAACGGACGAGAAGCUUGCUUCUCUGAUGUUAGCGGCGGACGGGUGAGUAACACGUGGAUAACCUACCUAUAAGACUGGGAUAACUUCGGGAAACCGUAGCUAAUACCGGAUAAUAUUUUGAACCGCAUGGUUCAAAAGUGAAAGACGGUCUUGCUGUCACUUAUAGAUGGAUCCGCGCUGCAUUAGCUAGUUGGUAAGGUCACGGCUUACCAAGGCAACGAUGCAUAGCCGACCUGAGAGGGUGAUCGGCCACACUGGAACUGAGACACGGUCCAGACUCCUACGGGAGGCAGCAGUAGGGAAUCUUCCGCAAUGGGCGAAAGCCUGACGGAGCAACGCCGCGUGAGUGAUGAAGGUCUUCGGAUCGUAAAACUCUGUUAUUAGGGAAGAACAUAUGUGUAAGUAACUGUGCACAUCUUGACGGUACCUAAUCAGAAAGCCACGGCUAACUACGUG
rnacentral:rRNA from 1 species